AGGGCGCACGGUGGAUGCCUUGGCACUAGAAGCCGAAGAAGGACGUGACUAACGACGAAAUGCUUUGGGGAGCUGUAAGUAAGCGCUGAUCCAGAGAUGUCCGAAUGGGGGAACCCACUAGUUAAUGACUAGUAUCCAUAUCUGUUAAGGAUAUGAGAAGGAAGACGCAGUGAACUGAAACAUCUAAGUAGCUGCAGGAAGAGAAAGCAAAAGCGAUUGCCUUAGUAGCGGCGAGCGAAACGGCAGGAGGGCAAACCGAAGUGUUUACACUUCGGGGUUGUAGGACUGCGAUAUAGGAUUAAUCAUUAUAGAAGAAUUACCUGGGAAGGUAAGCCAAAGAGAGUAACAGCCUCGUAUUUAAAAUGAUAGAUUAACCUUAGCAGUAUCCUGAGUACGGCGAGACACGCGAAAUCUCGUCGGAAUCUGGGAGGACCAUCUCCCAACCCUAAAUACUCUCUAGUGACCGAUAGUGAACCAGUACCGUGAGGGAAAGGUGAAAAGCACCCCGGGAGGGGAGUGAAAUAGAACCUGAAACCGUGUGCCUACAACAAGUUCGAGCCCGUUAAUGGGUGAGAGCGUGCCUUUUGUAGAAUGAACCGGCGAGUUACGAUAUGAUGCGAGGUUAAGUUGAAGAGACGGAGCCGUAGGGAAACCGAGUCUUAAUAGGGCGUCAUAGUAUCAUGUUGUAGACCCGAAACCAUGUGACCUACCCAUGAGCAGGUUGAAGGUGAGGUAAAACUCACUGGAGGACCGAACCAGGGCACGUUGAAAAGUGCUUGGAUGACUUGUGGGUAGCGGAGAAAUUCCAAACGAACUUGGAGAUAGCUGGUUCUCUCCGAAAUAGCUUUAGGGCUAGCGUCGAUGUUAAGUCUCUUGGAGGUAGAGCACUGUUUGGGUGAGGGGUCCAUCCCGGAUUACCAAUCUCAGAUAAACUCCGAAUGCCAACGAGAUAUAAUCGGCAGUCAGACUGCGAGUGCUAAGAUCCGUAGUCGAAAGGGAAACAGCCCAGACCACCAGCUAAGGUCCCAAAAUAUAUGUUAAGUGGAAAAGGAUGUGGGGUUGCACAGACAACUAGGAUGUUAGCUUAGAAGCAGCUAUUCAUUCAAAGAGUGCGUAAUAGCUCACUAGUCGAGUGACCCUGCGCCGAAAAUGUACCGGGGCUAAAACAUAUUACCGAAGCUGUGGAUGACACAAAAGUGUCAUGGUAGGAGAGCGUUCUAUGUGUGAAGAAGGUGUACCGUGAGGAGCGCUGGAACGCAUAGAAGUGAGAAUGCCGGUAUGAGUAGCGCAAGACAGGUGAGAAUCCUGUCCACCGUAAGACUAAGGUUUCCAGGGGAAGGCUCGUCCGCCCUGGGUUAGUCGGGACCUAAGGAGAGACCGAAAGGUGUAUCCGAUGGACAACAGGUUGAUAUUCCUGUACUAGAGUAUAUAGUGAUGGAGGGACGCAGUAGGCUAACUAAACCAGACGAUUGGAAGUGUCUGGUCAAACAGUGAGGUGUGAUAUGAGUCAAAUGCUUAUAUCUUUAACAUUGAGCUGUGACGAGGAGCGAAGUUUAGUAGCGAAGUUAGUGAUGUCACACUGCCAAGAAAAGCUUCUAGCGAUACAUAUACUCUACCCGUACCGCAAACCGACACAGGUAGUCGAGGCGAGUAGCCUCAGGUGAGCGAGAGAACUCUCGUUAAGGAACUCGGCAAAAUGGCCCCGUAACUUCGGGAGAAGGGGCGCUGAUUUUAGAUCAGCCGCAGUGAAUAGGCCCAAGCAACUGUUUAUCAAAAACACAGCUCUCUGCUAAAUCGUAAGAUGAUGUAUAGGGGGUGACGCCUGCCCGGUGCUGGAAGGUUAAGAGGAGUGCUUAGCGUAAGCGAAGGUAUGAAUUGAAGCCCCAGUAAACGGCGGCCGUAACUAUAACGGUCCUAAGGUAGCGAAAUUCCUUGUCGGGUAAGUUCCGACCCGCACGAAAGGCGUAAUGAUUUGGGCACUGUCUCAACGAGAGACUCGGUGAAAUUUUAGUACCUGUGAAGAUGCAGGUUACCCGCGACAGGACGGAAAGACCCCAUGGAGCUUUACUGCAGUUUGAUAUUGAGUAUCUGUACCACAUGUACAGGAUAGGUAGGAGCCUAUGAUAACGGGACGCCAGUUUCGUUUGAGGCGUUGUUGGGAUACUACCCUUGUGUUAUGGCUACUCUAACCCAGAUAGGCAAUCCCUAUCGGAGACAGUGUCUGACGGGCAGUUUGACUGGGGCGGUCGCCUCCUAAAAGGUAACGGAGGCGCCCAAAGGUUCCCUCAGACUGGUUGG
rnacentral:rRNA from 1 species